rnacentral:rRNA from 1 species
UUCCGGUUGAUCCUGCCGGACCCCAUUGCUAUCGGGAUAGGACUAAGACAUGCUAGUUGAGCGCUUCAGCCAAAACGAGGCGCGGCGUACAGCUCAGUAACACGUGGCUAAUCUGCCCUUAGGACAGGAACAACCCCGGGAAACUGGGGCUAAUUCUUGAUAUGUGAAGAACUCUGGAAUGAGUCUUCGCUUAAAAGACUUCACGUUAUGCUCGUGAUGUUGCCUAAGGAUGAGGCCGCGACCGAUCAGGUUGUUGGUGAGGUAAUGGCUCACCAAGCCUUUUACCGGUGCGGGCCGUGAGAGCGGGAGCCCGGAGAUGGGCACUGAGACAAGGGCCCAGGCCCUACGGGGCGCAGCAGUCGCGAAAACUUUGCAAUACACGAAAGUGUGACAGGGCUAUCCCGAGUGCCUUCCGCUGAGGGAGGCUUUUACCUAGUAUAGAUCGCUAGGGGAAUAAGGAGAGGGCAAGUCUGGUGUCAGCCGCCGCGGUAAUACCAGCUCUCCGAGUGGUGUGGAUGUUUAUUGGGCCUAAAGCAUCCGUAGCUGGCUAGGUCAGUCCUUUGUUAAAUCCACCGAAUUAAUCGUUGGUUUGCGGGGGAUACUGCUUGGCUAGGGGACGAGAGAGGCAGACGGUAUUUCCGGGGUAGGAGUGAAAUCCUAUAAUCCCGGGAAGACCACCAGUGGCGAAGGCUGUCUGCUAGAACGCGCUCGACGGUGAGGGAUGAAAGCUG